AUUCAGGGACCAUGCAGGCAGCACGCCCAGCACUAACCUUCAGGAUCAGCUCUACCACCUCCGUGUGCACCAGGCCAUGCACAGGUUCCCCAUUGACAUGGGUGAUGAGGUCACCUUGACGAAGCCCUGCCUCACUGGCCGGACCUCCAUCCUCCACGUGCUGUGCCAGGAAGAGAACAGUACUCAGACUGGAGCCUGAACACGAAGUAUGGGGCCUGGUUCUGGACAUUAAGCUGUGAGCCCCUUCACCACCACCCUUUGACCCCCGAGCAGGGACAGAUGGGCUCCACAAAGGGGAAGCUGGAAGGAUGAUGAAGCAGGGAGACAGCAGGUCUGGAUGGUCAGACAUACCCACACCAUAUGGUGCACGGUGUAGACAUCGGAGUCACCCAUGUAGACGCGAAUGGCCCGCAGGGUGAAGCCAUACUUCUUGCCAGCUCGGUGGAUGAUGAUGGGAGGCCUCAUGCUGCCAAGGGCUGGCAAGAAGUCCCUGCUUGGAGAAGAGUCCCGGGAUGAUGGGUUGGACGACUGAGAAUGUGGGGACAUGGGGCUGGCCAACGGGGAGCAGGUGUGGUGUUCUGGAGAAGGAGAAGCCAGGACUUAGUGGGUCAGAGGGCUUUGGCCUGGCCCCUGGUCCAGUCUGUUGAUGUCAGCACAACUCUAGUCACAGACAGAGCCUGAGCCUAGGUCCAUUUUCCCCACAGCCCCUGACCUGUGAAGCCCUCUCCCGUGUCCAGACCCCAAGAGACGGUGGUGGUGAUGAGAAAUGGCAGCUAGCAUUUAUGUGUGUAUCAGGGACUAUAUAAGCUUGUCAUAUAUAUUUAAAUGUCACAACCUAUCAGCUGGCCUCUAUUAUAUCCACAUUUUUGGAUAAGAAACUUGAGGCUUAGAGAAGUUAAGCAACUUGCUCAAGGUCAAGAGCCUGUUAGUGAUGGAGCCAGGAUUUGAGUGUGAGCUCUCUACCCCAAAGCCUGCACUUGUGACAUGGUGCUGUCCUGCUUUCUGGCACAUGUAUACACAACCCCAGACACCAAUACACACCUUCAGAGACCACAGUCAGAUCUGUGCUUAACACACACACACACACCUGCCACGUGCAGAACCCUCCCAAGGCCUAGAGAUUACAAGGCCCUUCCUGUGAGUUUUAUCCCAGCUCCCCAGGGGCCUCACCCGAAGGAAUGAGGAGUGAGAGGGCUGUGGCUGAGGCGGACUUGAUCACUUUGUUGACAGGGCGAGCAGUGCGCUUCUCUGUUGAGUCCCCAGAGAGCAGCCGGUGGCGGGCCCUACGCACAGCCAGGUCACUGAUGGCCUUGGCUGUGGCUCCCUCAGCCAGCUGUGAGGUCCCACGGCCUCGGGUCUCCAUAGCUGUAGGCCCAAGUAAGCAGUGAGACCCGCGAUGCCGCUGAGCCUCCCUGCCCUGCAGUAUCCUCCAGCUUAGGUCGUUUGGCCGCCCACUGGGCCAUACCUGGACUGGAACCACUGCUCCGGCCAACAGCUUCCUCAUCCAGCUUUGGCCGCUGCUCCCCUGAGUGUUCAGUGACAGGCCCAGAUACCCCCUCUCCAGAUGGGGGUGUCAGGACCCAUAUACCCUCCUGUGGUUGCCUCCUGAGGGUGCUGCUGGCCUCCUCAGGGCCCUCCGGGAACCGAGGCGCAUCCAGGAGGCCUGAGCAGCGGCGUCGCACUGUCAUUGGAGGGCUUGAGUCACUCUCUGUGUGGGAUGACUCAGACACCGACAGCCGCUUCCGUAAUCUAUGAGACACAAGGCCUGGGGUGAGUGACCCAGGUGGUCCCCCUCCUCCUGCCAGGUCUCCUUAGGGGCACACAAGGGUUAUAGUAACAGAACUUUCCUCCGCAGACAUUCCUCCAGGAGCCACCCUUGUGAAUGCCCCCUCCCUGCCACCUGCACUCCUCCCUGGCAUCGGAAUCUCUCCCAUGAUCUGUGACAAUGCAGGGAUAGCUGUGUCGCCCACCCUGGGUGAACUCUGGGUGCUCACAUCUCAGGGGAGCCAAUCACCCAGCUCCGGUCUCGGCCUUUGAGCCCUGCCAGGCCAUCUGAAUGGUCCUCCUUCUCCUCACUCAGGCUGCGCUUGGUCGGGGGUGGUGUCCGGCGCUCCUCGAGCAGUGAGAGCCGCUCCAUGCUGCUGUACACCUGUGGGCACAGGGGAUGCGCUGGGGAUGGGCUCUGGCAGCCGUACCUCCCAAGUGGCAUAAAGCAUCCUUGGCAUCGGAAACCUAGGAAUUUGAACCAGUCGGUUCCAUCCCUCCUUCACACACCCCUGCUGAAUAUUUGGGGAAGGAGUUAUUCCACUGAUCUGACCUGGCAUCUCAUGUCAGGGACAGCAGUGGUUCUAGAAGCACCUAUAUAUAGCUAUAUGUAGCCCCAACCCUUAGCUCCUCUUUUUCUAGAGGUGGCCCCAACCCCAACUCCCUGAGCCUGCCCCAGGUGUGCCCUUUGACAGGCCCUCUUCUUCUGAUCCUCCAGCCUGUUCUGCCCAUUCUGGGCCUCCUCAGUCACACCUUGUUGAACCUUGGAGAGCAGGAAGAGAACUGGCGGAUCUCAAGGCAGCCAUCCUCACUCACUUCUUCCUCAUCCUCCGAGUCCAUGUGGUGGUAUCGCUCUGAGCGGGCUGGGCCAGACAUAAAGGACACUUUCCUUCAGAGCCCUGCUGGUGGCCUCCUUGUGACCCCAUUAGAUUUCAGCAGAGCCCUGAGAAGUUGCUCCCAAUGCAAUUUCAGUGUGCACAGGUGUUUCUAGGCAAACAGGUAGGACCCAUCCUCCACCCCACCCAUCGGUGGCCUUACUGUCAAAAUAGCUAGUAUCAUCCUCUGACUCCAACUGAGGAAUAAAUUCAGCCUUCUGGCGGAGAAGUCCUGUCCAGUCCAGACCAGUAAAGAAUGGGUGCUGCUUCACCUCAUAGGCACUGCCUGUGGACAGGGAGGACAUGGGCAAGGGGGUAGGAUGAGCAGCAUGGAGUCUAGGUCAGCAAAUCUAGCAAGAAGCCAGACCUUCAGAAGCUAUACCUAGGGGAUCAGCUCAAGCAUCUUCCCUUUUCUGCCUACAGAGCAGGGCAGAGUUUCAGGAUCCAGAGGGGCUGCCCGUAACCGAAGCCUGAACCUCCAGGGUACAUGACUCAGCCUCCCUUACCCCUUUUCCAAGUAGUGAGAAAAGUUAGCAGGGCCUGCCCUACCUGUGCCAAGUCUCUCCAGAGGGUUCUGGUGGAGCAGUUUGGAGGUGAGGUCCUGGGCGUCUGGGGGCAGUGCCUCAUCACCCUCAGGCCACACAAUCUCAUCUGAAGUCAUCAGGGGUGAGAGGGAAAGGAGAAAUUGUGGGUAGAGUGGAGAGAUGCAGAAGAGGGUCCCAGAACAGUGAAAGGAAAGGAGGCAAAAAGGACCCAGCCUGGAGCCCCUGAAAGCCUUGCCUGGGACCCCAGUCCUUAAAUUCUAUAGGUUCCUAGACCAUAGCUUGAUCUUUGAUCCACAGCAGGCACUGCAAAGCUCUAGCUCACCCUGCUUUUAUACUCCACAAAACAUACACAGACGUACCCCUCACACUUAUGGGAUGUGCACAUACACAGACAGGAACACCCAGGUGUAUAUGAGAGACCAGGUGUCUAUGAGAGACAUGUGAAGCCCCAAGGGACACAGUGUGCACAUGUAUGUACAUGCAGAAACACAGAGACACCCAUCCCCAAAGCAGCAGACAUCACAAACACACAUGAUGAGUUCAGAACAAGAGCUCACAGGCCUCACGAGCUGCCUGCAUACAUCAUAUUUGUGGAUUCAGACUCUGUUUCCCCACUGGGCCAGGGGCAUAGUACCUACCACUGAUCACCUGCCCAAAGAGCUCCUCCGGAGUAUCUCCAAAAAAA
rnacentral:lncRNA from 10 species